CCCUAGCCCCGAUAGGAACGGUUACCCCGCAGCCAGGAGUUGGAGAGUUUGAGGGUUCAGGUGUUGGAGCGCGUGGGGUGAGGAGUAUGAGUGGAUAGCGGGAAAUAGC
rnacentral:misc_RNA from 1 species